CCCGCCCACCCCCACACACAGAGCGCCGUUGAACACCACAACCCCCGCCCCUAGCCAACCACCCGGUUCUCCCUCCCCCCAGCUCUGCUCGUAGUGCUGGGCGGGGAGGAGUCCUGGGCGGAGCAGGAGAAGCCGGGGCUGCCAGCGCCGCCGCCUCUGCAACGGGGACCCAGGAGCCGAGCCCAGGACGAGGGGUCCCUCGUGCCCGCAGCGUCCAUCGGCAGCGCGGAGCCGAGGUGGAGCUGGAGCCUUGGCCGCGGGGCUGGCCCCUCCCUGCCCGGUGCGGGGGGUAGCACCGGGAUGAAGAGACGCACCGCCACCUGCUGGACUCUCCUCCUGCUGGCUGCCUUCUUCUGCGACAGCGUCACCUGCAAGGGUGGGCGGGGCGGAGCGCGGGGGGCGGCCCGUGGCCGGGGCAUGGCCCGCAGCCGGGCCAAGGCUGCCCCUCGCUACGGCUCCUCGGGAGCGGGGCUGCGGGUGGCGGCAGCGGCGGCGGCGGGUGCGGCGGCAGGCGUGGCGGCAGGAGCGGCCCACAGGAGGAUGAGGAUCUCCGGACAGCUUGGUCCAGAUGACGGCUCUGAGUUCCAGGAAGGCAACAGGACGGGCAGCAGCGUGUACAGCUACCGGUCGUGGACCUCGGCUGCCCGGGCCCAGGACACGGCGCACCUUGCCAUCUCCCUCUGCCUGGUGACUGGCUUCUUCCAGCUCCUUCCCCUGUAAGGACCCAUGGUGCCCGACCCACCCUCCGUGUGUCGGAGCCUGCAGAGCGCCACCUGCUGGGCCCGGGCAGCACCAGCCCCAUCCAGCUGCAUCUGCCCCAGCCCCCUGCAGGCCAAGUGGCUCUCCUGCCUGCCGCGGGGCUGGAGCAGCCUGCACUGCCCAACGGGCUGGAGCUGGAGCAGCAGCCAGCGAGGCAACUGGGGCAGUGCCCCAGGGCCUGAUCCCACUGGGGCUUUGCUCUUGGCUGUGGUGAGGGCAGGUGGUGCAGCCCGAGGCCCCCAGCAGGGGGACCUGGAGCAGCUGCUGUGGGUGGUGUGAGGUUGCCGGGCACUGCCAUCACUGCAGCUUGUGACGUCCCCACUCAUGCUGAUUGACAUGGACAUUUCCCAAAGCACCAGCCCUGUCAGCCUGUGCCACGAGGGGCAGAGUCUUGGCCCACAGGGUGGGGUGGGGCCAGGGCCCGCAGGAUAAGGCAGAGCAUGAGGGGCGGAGCCUGGGUCAACAGGCUGGGGUAGGGCCAUGGGUGCCAGUUCCCUGCCUUGGGGCCCCACUCUCCUGCCGAACUGGGGUAACAUGGAAGGGAGGCCGGAGCGGCCCUGUGUGUCCUGUGGGGGCUGUGGUGAAGGGCGGCUGGGGUGGAGCUGCAUGGUGAGGGAAGCAGCUCCACUCUGAUAUCAGUGCCAAUGUGGAGCAGGAUCUCCUGGGGGAGGAAGGGGUGUGGGGAUCUGGGACUCUGGGCCAGCCUGUCCAAGCAUGUGAGGGGUCGGAGCUGGGUGUGAUGCGGGAGUCCACCUCCUCCUGGCUUGAACCCCAGCCGCUGGCACUGACUCAGGCUGGUGAGGAUGGUGCCGGUUGAUUCCACAGAUGGAGGCAACGAUUAGAGCCAGCUGCUCCCAAACCGGAGAUGAGUCCCCUGGCUCCUUUACGCCCAAGGGCCUCCUUGCCCAGCCGCCGCUUCCUCAGCACUCCCAGAACACCUCCGCCCUCCCCAGACUGCCGGACACUGGCUGAAGGGGUCUGAGCCCCACUGAUCUCAGCAGCGCCCACCAGGAUGGACUGGCUCCUGCGAACUCACUGCCCAAAUGGGGCCCGUCGAGCCAGGCUGCUUGGGGAGAAGCCUGAACAGCACUACCAGCCGUAGCCCUGCCUUGGGAGCUGCUCAGCUGCAGGUUGCCCUGACUUACGCCCUGGCUGAGCUGUGCAGCCAGGCAGAGCUGUACUGUGUUUCUGGCCCAGCCGAGCCACCUCCCAGCAAAUAUUUCAGCUGCUUUGGAUAGGGCUGUGGAGCGGGUGCCCAUUGCGGUGCAGUGCCACCAUGGGGAAGGGUGGGCUCAGGUUUGCACAUACAGCAGAAGGUCAGUCUCUUGGUUUUGCAUGAAAACCACGGUGCCUCAGCCCCAAAACCUCUGUGCCUAAUCACAGCACAGCAUGGGCACAUCGGAGGUGUUCCAGGAAAAUCGAUCCGUUGACUUUCCAACUGCUGAUCAGUCAGAAAUUGGCCCCAGAAUGAGUUCCCACUCUGAAUGCCCUGAUUUUGCAGGCCCCUCUAGCUUGAGAACGACACAGUGUAGGAAGUCCAGAAGGCGGGUGGCAGAGCGAUCAGGCAGAGGGAGGGGAGCGGUCUUUGCGCUCAGCCUUCAUUUGUUAAUUUACAAAAGGGGAUUAGAGGGUUGGGUCACAGUGGUUGAUUUGUCUUGUCCCGGUUAGCCGGAGGGGCCGUGGUUUAGUGUCCUGAUUCGUGGGGGGAGGCCAUGGUGCAGGAGAGGGGACGGAGGGGUCGGGACAAAGCCGGUGCACCAUCUCAUCCCCUGCAGAGGAGGUUGCCCUUGGGGCUCUGGGGAAGUGAAGACCCUGUAUCCUCUGGAGCAGGGGAGGGGGUUUAGGGGAAUGUCCCCCCAUUCAGGCUGGGUUAGUGCUGGGGCCAGCCCCAGCUGAAGAAAAUGCAAAGAUUUCAAGCCAAACGUGGGCAAUGCACAGGAAUGCUGGUCUUCACCCGGCCCUCUGGGACACAGGGUAGACACCUGCUUCCUUUGCAGCCACCCGCUCAGCAGGCCUCCUGGUGCGCUGCCAGGCUGCCAGUGCCCCCCACCCUGUAGCCUUGGGGAAGGUGCAGUGAGCUGAGAGGCAGGAACUCAUGAGCUCAGUGCUCCUUUCUCCUGCCUGUGGUCAUAUUGCCGUGCACUCCCCAGAGCCUAUUCUCCCCCCGCCCCCACCUUGCACUCCAAGCCCAGGAGGCAGUCAAGUAGUAACCCUACCCCCUCUUACUAUGGUAACCGAUGCACAAGGUCACUUCAAGCAAAUUGGGACUAACACCCCAGCCUCUGGCAUGACCGACCCAAACUCAGCCACGCUGUCUGGCAGAGUGAAUGUGCCAAAUAUACGUGCUUUGGCUACCCUAUCCCUCACCAUGAGACGACACUCCCCUCCAAGGGCAGGGAGAGGACCCAGGAGUCCUGUGUCCCGUAUUCCCACGCUGUCUAGCAAAUGGUCAAGUGUACACCCCUUCCCCCUCGAGUGGCUAAUCCCCAUAGGAAAGCCAGUGGCACUGGCAGAGGUGUGUGCUAGGUCUCCAACAGGCCAGAGCUCAACCCUGCUGGCUGCCACAGCAGCGAUGGUUUCCAGCCUGUUCAGUGCUGUAAAUGGCAGAGCCCCAUGCAACAUGCUGCAGGUACCGCCAAUACAGUCACGCGUCCCAUGGUGGCAGGUUAGGGAUGAGCUUAUUGAGCCUUGGCCAGCAGCUGAGCCGCCUGCUGAGCCACUAGUAGGUUUGGGAAGCUGCUACAGCUGGAAACUCCUCUGGUACCAGCCAGCGUGUUUGCCAGUGAGCUCUGGGCACCGGCUGAGGGAGAAACUGGGCUCAAGUGACCGAGGAGCUGAUUAGGGAAGUGCCCAUGGGAGGGGAGGAAACUGCCCCCAGUUCCACUUGGGGGUAAAGAGGGCAGGAAACAGGCAGAUCCACGUGGGGAUCCAGAUUGGUUGGAAGCCAGCUCCAGAGUUACAGGCCCUGCUCUGGCUCCAGCUCGCAGCCUGGGGGCCUUUCCCAGCACAGCCAGGAGAGUUAAUACAGUCUCAGUCCUUGCAGCUUUUCCACAGGGGGUGGGGGGAAGAGUGCUCUCCCCAACAUCUGGGAGGCUCCACCCUGGAGAGGGGCAGAUCCCCCUGCUCUGCACAGGCCAGGGGAGGGGGCUCCAUGCUUCCCCCCCACCAGGCUCACCCUCAGCUGUCCAUCAAACAGCUUGGCCUCCCCACAUGCCGUCGGGUGUGCUGCCUGGCAUUGGCACAGAUGCACAAGCUCUGGCCCCUGAGGGGCCCUGGGAGCGGGCUGUUCAUGGAAUCACUGCAUUUGGGGCACAGGGGUUCUGGGCUUUUUAAAAAAAAUGCCCUCUACAUUUUGGACCAAACUCCCCCACCACCCCCACUUAACCCACCAGCAGCCAGAGGCAGGAUGCAGGAGGUAGAUUGGCACUAAGCUAUUCCUCAGUGCCCUAGGACUGGUGGGAAUCCCCCCAGGCCCUGCCUGGCAGGCUGGGCUUUGGGCACUGUCUAGACAGCCCCUGCGAGCGGCCAGCUCGCUGUAUGUGCAUGUGAACAGUGUAGUUAUGACACCCCUUCCUCUCCAUGCAGAGCCCUGCCCCAGCCCCUUUGCCAGGCCUGAUGCCAGCCCACCCAGCAAGCAGGGGGCCACACGUUCUUGCACUCCCCUGUUUUUAAUGUUCCUUGUUUGUAAUGGUUUUAUACGUGUGUUCACAGUGAUGUGGAAAUAAAGUCUAGGAGGAGAGUCUGACUCACUGAACUGGGGAGGGACAUGCCAGAGUGGCACCUGCUCAUCAGAGGGAGGACAGGGGCAUCUUGCACACACCCCCCUCUUCCAGCCCUGGGGCACAAGGGCUGCCCCCCUUGCACUUGGCAUGGGACCUUCCCCUGAAGUGCUGCAGGCUUCUCAUCCCAUCACCCUCCA